rnacentral:rRNA from 1 species
UUGCACAGGUGCUGCAUGGCUGUCGUCAGCUCGUGUCGUGAGAUGUUCGGUUAAGUCCGCUAACGAGCGCAACCCUCGCUGUGUGUUACAAGUGUCACACGGUACUGCCGGUCUUAAGCCGGAGGAAGGUGGGGAUGACGUCAAGUCAGCAUGGCCUUUAUGUCCUGGGCUACACACACGCUACAAUGGCCAACACAAUAGGUUGCUAAGCCGCGAGGUGGAGCCAAUCCUCAAAGUUGGUCUCAGUUCAGAUUGCAGGCUGCAACCCGCCUGCAUGAAGAUGGAGUUGCUAGUAACCGCAGGUCAGCUAUACUGCGGUGAAUACGUUCCCGGGGCUU